rnacentral:rRNA from 1 species
UGCGGAGGGAUCAUUACAAGUGACCCCGGUCUAACCACCGGGAUGUUCAUAACCCUUUGUUGUCCGACUCUGUUGCCUCCGGGGCGACCCUGCCUUCGGGCGGGGGCUCCGGGUGGACACUUCAAACUCUUGCGUAACUUUGCAGUCUGAGUAAACUUAAUUAAUAAAUUAAAACUUUUAACAACGGAUCUCUUGGUUCUGGCAUCGAUGAAGAACGCAGCGAAAUGCGAUAAGUAAUGUGAAUUGCAGAAUUCAGUGAAUCAUCGAAUCUUUGAACGCACAUUGCGCCCCCUGGUAUUCCGGGGGGCAUGCCUGUUCGAGCGUCAUUUCACCACUCAAGCCUCGCUUGGUAUUGGGCAACGCGGUCCGCCGCGUGCCUCAAAUCGACCGGCUGGGUCUUCUGUCCCCUAAGCGUUGUGGAAACUAUUCGCUAAAGGGUGCUCGGGAGGCUACGCCGUAAAACAAACCCAUUUCUAAGGUUGACCUCGGAUCAGGUAGGGAUACCCGCUGAACUUAAGCAUAUCAAUA